UCCAGUCCGGUUUUGCGGACUAAAGACAGUAUCGGCCGAAACGUGGGCGAGACGUUUUGCCACCCCUAAUUUGAACCUUCAUAUUUCUUCCCUACGAGAUAGGUUUUUCAAGUGUUUGUUUUGCAGCCAUGGCAAACAGAGACCACCACCGCUGUGAUAAACUCUUUGUAACCCAAGAGUCCUUCAAUAACUACAAAGACGGAUCACAGGAUUUCUGUAAGGCCUCGAUUAGCGCCCCUAGAGUUGUAAAGUCCUUCAAUAAUAAGGGAUCUGGUUCCCAAAAUUUAAGGGGCUUAAAGAUUCAUUGCCAUGACAAAUCUGUUUUGCUCCAUUUCCGAGCCCGUGUCGGCAGUGGGAUAUCUGCACUUUUCAACUACAACGGGAACGGACUUCAGGAGUUCCCUGGCUUCAGCUUUUUUAGGUAUCUGCGAGACUUAACCCGUCUGGGAUGAGAGCUGAAAUACGGAACUAGGGAAAUGUAGUCAUGGAGGCCUAAUACUACCCUAAGGAUUUUCUCCAUUCACAGUUUGUUUGUUCAAGACUGUCUUUAUUUUAUAUUCUCGUGGGGAUGACUUUGUUUUAUACCCACAUUGAACUUUCACUUUGGAUUGUUACAACAAAUUUUAACUAUACUUUAUUAUGUACAUGCAGACCAUAUAUAUAUAUGUUUAUAUAUUGAUUGCUUUAGCCACAUUAGUUACUCUGAAUAUUAUUUUGUUGGAUUAUUUGAUUUUGUUUUAUUACCA